UACGAAGGGUGCAAGCGUUACUCGGAAUUACUGGGCGUAAAGCGUGCGUAGGUGGUUCGUUAAGUCUGAUGUGAAAGCCCUGGGCUCAACCUGGGAAUUGCAUUGGAUACUGGCGAGCUAGAGUGCGGUAGAGGAUGGCGGAAUUCCCGGUGUAGCAGUGAAAUGCGUAGAGAUCGGGAGGAACAUCCGUGGCGAAGGCGGCCAUCUGGACCAGCACUGACACUGAGGCACGAAAGCGUGGGGAGCAAACAGG
rnacentral:rRNA from 1 species